CCACGUGUCAUUGAGAUAGGAGUGACAAAUAGUUAUUUACCAAAUCUAAAAGUGGCAAAUAGUUAAAAGCCCCCAGGAUGAGUGACUGGGUCGAUAUGGAUCUUGAGCCGGCACGCCUAGCUGUUGAGGUUAUUGGAGAAGAAUUACGCUAUGUGAGAGAGCGCCAUCACAACACAUGUCAUGCUGUUGGGAGCUAUUGGGAGGGGAGUCUAUCUGGGUAUCAAUCUGGCUGAGACUUGGAGCUGUUGGGAGGGGAGUCUAUCUGGGUAUCAAUCUGGCUGAGACUUGGAUUGAGGAAGAAGUGUUGGAGUCGAGGCCGGUUGCGUCAAAUGAAACUUAUCGCUCUCCUUUCUACAUGAAUAAAUUUAUAGAAGUCAGAUUGGGCACUCCCACAUCCGGCGCUGGAACACUGCCGUUUUUCCCCAGCGCCGUUUUUCCCGUGUUCAAAAAUGUUCGAUGAAAUUCCUAGCAAAUUAUGUGUGAUUCUAUC
rnacentral:lncRNA from 1 species